AGCGGCGCGUUCACGGUCUGUGGAAUAACCGGCGAUGUACUGUAGUUGUUGAUAGCGUUAGGCGGUGCGUCUGAUUAUUUUAAAAGCAGGGCCGGUAGAAACCAAAUUCCCCAACAAAACCGCUUAUAUCUCGCAAAGGGAAUAUCACAGAAAGAAAUUUCAAUGCAGAUUUAUUUCGAAGACUCUACAAAGACACCCAAUUUGGAGAAGGGGCCAUUGGACAAGAACAGCAAGAGGUGAACGCGGUACAUCAGGAGGAAGCAGUGGGGGUAUUCUGUGAGUUUUGCAGGCAAGGGCUCGAUAUUUGGAGGUGGUGGGAGAGGCCAACCUCAUUGCUGACCUGCUUGGCAGCAUCCUGACCCGUCAGAACAAGCACCUUUAACUCAAGCAGGGCGGCGGGGCUUGACCACUGCCCACCUGGGGACCAAUGCCCACCUAGGGACCACUGCCCACCAAGACCUCUGACUCAAUUCUGUGUAACAACACUGUGGAAAAUAUGUAUCUUACAUAAUGCAAUAAAAGAAAUAAUGCACAUUUUCUUUUAUCACAUUACCUUUAAUUCUGUUGAUUUUGAUAUCCCAUGGGAUGAUUAUUGUCAUGAUCCAACUGCAUUUUGUCCAUGUUUGGCCAGCAGAGGUCGCUGGUCAUCAUGUAAUCACAUUGGUCCCAGCCCUCAUGUCUUAACCACCCAUAAGUGUCUCCAAUCUGUCAGUCAUGUUCAGUGUAUAUAUGUGCCUGCCUACAGUGGCUUCCCCAGUCAUUGUUGUUGUCACAGGUGUCUAGUGUGGUAUCCAAUAAAGCCCGUUUCAGUUCA